rnacentral:rRNA from 1 species
GACGAACGCUGGCGGCGCGCCUAAUACAUGCAAGUCGAGCGAGAACCAGGGCUUCGGCCCUGGGGACAGCGGCGAACGGGUGAGUAACACGUGGAUAACCUGCCCUCGGCACCGGGAAUAGCCCGGGGAAACUCGGAUUAAUGCCGGAUAGCCCCACAUCCUCUCUGGGAACGUGGGAAAAGGUAGCUUCGGCCUCUGGCCGGGGAUGGGUCCGCGGUGGAUUAGCUUGUUGGCGGGGUAACGGCCCACCAAGGCGACGAUCCAUAGCUGGUCUGAGAGGACGAUCAGCCACACUGGGACUGAGACACGGCCCAGACUCCUACGGGAGGCAGCAGUAGGGAAUCUUGCGCAAUGGGCGAAAGCCUGACGCAGCGACGCCGCGUGCGGGAAGAAGGCCUGGUUGU